rnacentral:rRNA from 1 species
UACAGAGGUCCCAAGCGUUGUUCGGAUUCACUGGGCGUAAAGGGUGCGUAGGUGGCGGGGUAAGUUUGAUGUGAAAUCUCCGAGCUCAACUCUGAAACUGCACUCGAUACUGCUUUGCUCGAGGACUGGAGAGGAGAUUGGAAUUCACGGUGUAGCAGUGAAAUGCGUAGAUAUCGUGAGGAAGACCAGUGGCGAAGGCGGAGUCUCUGGACAGUUCCUGACGCUGAGGCGCGAAGGCCAGGGGAGCAAACGGG